AGAGGAAUCGAUUAAAAGGGAAUCAGGUGGAAAUCCUGAACAGUCCCGCUGCUGUAAGUUUCAUACAAACGUUGUAAGCAUGUACCAAUAGCCACUGAAUCAAAAAAUUCGGGAAGGCGUUUACCAACGGAAACAAGUCAGAAGACCUGCCAUGCUAAUA
rnacentral:ncRNA from 1 species